rnacentral:lncRNA from 10 species
CAGAGUCCCGGGGCCAGAGUGGGAUGGGAGUGCGGGAUCGGAAGUUCCAUUUUUCAGAUGGGAAAAGUGAGGCUCAGAGAAAGGUAGAUCCCAUUCCGAGUCAGUGGUGAAGCCGACACGGAAACCGGGUGCCCUACUUAGUCUGUAGGUGGGAGAGGUGCAGAGAACGUUCACUUUCCAGCCUAGGGUGGGCGGGGGAGGGUCUGUCCCUAGCCCGCAUGGAUGGGGAGGAUUUGGUGGAGAGGAGGCGCCCUCCUCACCAUCGCCCGGCCUCCCGGGCCACCCUUCGGAUGUCCCCUCCCUUCCUUCACCGACUGUCUCUCGCAGCAGCCCAGACACGUUUCGGACCGGGACCCACGCACAGGCCCCUCCCCGGUCUUGGAAGGCCCUUCCUCUGAGAACAAAGAGAUGUUGGGCCAGAUCAUCUUCCACGCUUCUUCAGCUCCGAGAUAGGAACGCGGUCCCCCACCACUCACAGGCCGGCUGCUCCUCACCCAUCCGGUCUCACUGGGACGCCACGUUCCUCAGGGAAGAAUCUGGAACGAUGAAGGUGAUGAUUGUGCCUGUGGCCAAGACCGGGAGAACCCUGGAUCCCUACACCUUCCCCACCCCUGGAAUGUCACUAUACAUAUCUGACUUCUUCUGAUGUUGCCUUUGACCCUAAAGUCAAUAUGAUAAAGUAACAAGAAGCUGGGACAGAGGAACAAACACAGCCCACUCAAGCAGUGGUGGCAACAUUCUGUUAGAAAGGAGGGGAGUCAAAGAAAAAAACACCCCUCCGCCCAUCUCCUUAUCACCUCCCUAAAGACAGAGGAGAACAUGGACACCCUCCAUCC